rnacentral:rRNA from 1 species
GAUGAACGCUGGCGGCGUGCCUAAUACAUGCAAGUCGAACGAAGCCUUCGGGCUUAGUGGCGAACGGGUGAGUAACACGUUGGUACCUACCCUCUAGUGGGGAAUAACUGGCCGAAAGGUCGGCUAAUACCGCAUAAUACCGCAAGGUUAAAGCAGCAAUGCGCUAGAGGAGGGGCCUGCGUCCCAUUAGCUUGUUGGUAGUGUAAUGGACUACCAAGGCGACGAUGGGUAGCUGGAUCGAGAGGUUGACCAGCCACACUGGGACUGAGAUACGGCCCAGACUCCUACGGGAGGCAGCAGUAAGGAAGCUUCCACAAUGGACGAAAGUCUGAUGGAGCAACGCCGCGUGCAGGAUGACGGCCUUCGGGUUGUAAACUGCUUUUAUAUGGGAAGAUUAUGACGGUACCACAUGAAUAAGGACCGGCUAACUACAUGCCAGCCGCCGCGGUAA